GACGAACGCUGGCGGCGUGCUUAACACAUGCAAGUCGAACGGAAAGGCCCUGCUUUUGUUGGUUGCUCGAGUGGCGAACGGGUGAGUAACACGUGAGUAACCUGCCCUUGUCUUUGUGAUAACUUCUGGAAACUGGGGCUAAUACCGGAUAGGAGCUCCUGCUGCAUGGUGGGGGUUGGAAAGUUUCGGCGUUUGGGGAUGGACUCGCGGGUUAUCAGCUUGUUUGUGGGGUAGUGGCUUACCAAGGCUUUGACGGGUAGCCGGCCUGAGAAGGUGACCGGGCAAAAUGGGACUGAGAUACGGACCAGAAUGCAAAGGGAGGCAGAAGUGGGGAAUAUUGCACAAUGGGGGGAAGCGAGAUGCAGAAACGCCGGGUGCGGGAUGACGGCCUACGGGGUGAAAACAGACGUCGAAUGUGACGAAGCGUGAGUGACGGUAAUGGGUAAAGAAGCAACGGCUAACUACGUG
rnacentral:rRNA from 1 species